rnacentral:rRNA from 1 species
ACGCACGAGGAGACAUCUCCUUGUGUGAAAAACUCCGGUGGUACAGGAUGGGCCCGCGUCUGAUUAGCUGGUUGGCAGGGUAACGGCCUACCAAGGCAACGAUCAGUAGCCGGUCUGAGAGGAUGAACGGCCACAUUGGAACUGAGACACGGUCCAAACUCCUACGGGAGGCAGCAGUGGGGAAUAUUUGCACAAUGGGGGAAAACCCUGAUGCAGCAACGCCGCGUGAGUGAAGAAGUAUUUCGGUAUGUAAAGCUCUAUCAGCAGGGAAGAUAAUGACGGUACCUGACUAAGAAGCUCCGGCUAAAUACGUGCCAGCAGCCGCGGUAAUACGUAUGGAGCAAGCGUUAUCCGGAUUUACUGGGUGUAAAGGGUGCGUAGGUGGCAGUGCAAGUCAGAUGUGAAAGGCCGGGGCUCAACCCCGGAGCUGCAUUUGAAACUGCUCGGCUAGAGUACAGGAGAGGCAGGCGGAAUUCCUAGUGUAGCGGUGAAAUGCGUAGAUAUUAGGAGGAACACCAGUGGCGAAGGCGGCCUGCUGGACUGUUACUGACACUGAGGCACGAAAGCGUGGGGAGCAAACAGGAUUAGAUACCCUGGUAGUCCGCGCCGUAAACGAUGAAUACUAGGUGUCGGGGCCGUAUAGGCUUCGGUGCCGCCGCUAA